CUAGGGUCAUUUGCAAAGUUUUCUGGGAGUUUCCACUCCACUGGUUUCCACAUUGCACCUGAAAUGCCCCCAGCCCCUAAUUUCAAUAAUCUCUUACAGUACUUUCUCUAUCCCUCCCUCCAUCACCCUCCUAGCCUGAUCCCCCUUGUUCCAAUCCCCACACACAAUCUCUUCUAUUUCCCUUCUUAAUCAGAUCCAUGGGUCAUCCCUUGAGUCUCCUUUUUACUUGACCUCCCUAUGUAUGUGCAAAAAUAGGACUUAUGAUUGUGGGCAAUAGUAGUUUACAGAAGGGUAGUACAGGAGGAUGUGUUUGUUUUUCAUUCCCAGAAAGUUCUUUAGAAUCUUUAGGAUUUUCUAAAACAUAACUUCAUGUUGUGUGCAGAUAUGUUUUAUAGCCUAUUAAUUGACACCUUUGACUUCCUUGUGUUGCCUGAUUGUUUUGUCUAAUAUGUCUGAGAGAAUACUGUAUAGAAGUUACCAUAGAAGCUUCCUUGUGUUGAUACUGGUCUUAGAGUUUGGAAAGCUGUCACAUGUCCCCACUGAGCACCGAGUUGGUUCUAGGUAUUCAUUAUGUGUGCCUCUACUGCGCUGGUGCAGUCUUCUCUCCCUAGUCUGCAUAUUUUCAUCAUUACAAGCUGUUUACAUUCAUCAAAUGCCUUUAUUGAUUCAGUCUUAUGAAUUAUUCAUGGAACCUGUUUUGUGUCUCUUCUUGAUUCCAUCUGUAGAUUCUGGGCUUCUAGGAAUUUGUCGCCUUCAUGUAAGUCACUCUAUUUUUAGCUCAUCGGUGUGAACAUGGAAAUUUUAGUACCCUGAAAAGUGGACAGCUAGAUCUUAAUUUUCACCUUUAGUGUUAGUGUCAAUCUUUUAAAAACAAAGUUAAUCUAAAGAUUGCCAACCCCAUUAUCACUUUGAAGACUACCUUUUCCUUUUAUUGAAAAUAAAUUUUUUGAUUUUGAAAAAC
rnacentral:lncRNA from 1 species